GCGGGAGUAGCACAGUGGUAGGGCAUCUGCCUUCCAAGCAGAAGACGCGGGUUCGAUUCCCGUCUCCCGCU
rnacentral:tRNA from 1 species